GACGAACGCUGGCGGCGUGCCUAAUACAUGCAAGUCGAACGCAGGGGGGACGGGUGAGUAACACGUGGGUAACCUCCCAUCAGAGGGGAUAACACUUGGCAACAGGUGCUAAACCGAUACUGAUUGAUGUACCCGCGGUGGAUUAGCUAGUGGGUGGGGUAAAGGCUCACCAAGGCUACGAGGCAUAGCUGACCUGAGAGGGGGAUCGGCCACACUGGGACUGAGACACGGCCCAGACUCCUACGGGAGGCAGCAGUAGGGAAUCUUGGGCAAUGGACGCAAGUCUGACGGAGUAACGCCGCGUGAGUGAAGAAGGUCUUCGGAUCGUAAAGCUCUGUUGUUAGAGAAGCGGUAUCUAAACAGAAAGCCACGGCUAACUACGUGCCAGCAGCCGCGGUAAUUC
rnacentral:rRNA from 1 species